UGGGGAAUUUUGGACAAUGGGGGAAACCCUGAUCCAGCCAUCCCGCGUGUGCGAUGAAGGCCUUCGGGUUGUAAAGCACUUUUGGCAGGAAAGAAACGUCGCGGGUUAAUACCCCGCGAAACUGACGGUACCUGCAGAAUAAGCACCGGCUAACUACGUGCCAGCAGCCGCGGUAAUACGUAGGGUGCAAGCGUUAAUCGGAAUUACUGGGCGUAAAGCGUGCGCAGGCGGUUCGGAAAGAAAGAUGUGAAAUCCCAGAGCUUAACUUUGGAACUGCAUUUUUAACUACCGGGCUAGAGUGUGUCAGAGGGAGGUGGAAUUCCGCGUGUAGCAGUGAAAUGCGUAGAUAUGCGGAGGAACACCGAUGGCGAAGGCAGCCUCCUGGGAUAACACUGACGCUCAUGCACGAAAGCGUGGGGAGCAAACAGGAUUAGAUACCCUGGUAGUCCACGCCCUAAACGAUGUCAACUAGCUGUUGGGGCCUUCGGCCUUGGUAGCGCAGCUAACGCGUGAAGUUGACCGCCUGGGGAGUACGGUCGCAAGAUUAAAACUUAAAUGAAUUGAC
rnacentral:rRNA from 1 species